ensembl:lncRNA
GGCUCAUUGUAAUGGCUGAAAUGGAAUUGUUUUAUUCCAUUCCAGCCAUUACAAUGAGCCCAUCCUCCUAUAACUUCUCCCACCAGCCUCCUCUGACAUGCUAGUCUGUCACUAUUCCGUGUGGACAACUGUCAUCUAUCUAGCCGAGAACAGUAAUAAAGUUCGGCAUCUCCCCAUCAUGGAUGAAUAACUCUUCGAAUGGAUGGUGUGAUGGAGGGAUAACAAAGCUCUAAGGUGUGUCCUUUGGGGGUGUGGACAUGGCACGUGGCCUGUACACCUGUAGCUCCCUCAGUCCUCCGUCAGGUCAACAGUCUUCUGCUGGGUGCUGUCACACUGCCCAACAUCCUCUUCACAGGACAGGAAUUGUGGGAGAGCCUCCCUACGUCACAAUAGACUACAACUUUGAGCUAACCGGGGCUGGGAAGAUUCACGUCUUCAAGGGGCUUGCAAGACCUGACCAGAUGAAUAACGCAAAGUGAUUGUUUUUGUGAGAAGAGACAAUGGUUUCACAGCAAGAAAUCUGAAAUCUGAAUAUUUUUUACCUUCCUUGUUUACUGACUUCAAACACCAAGGCCAGAGUCAAGGCCGUUGAAUGUACAGAUGUACAGAACAUAAAGUUCCGGAGAUAGGACUGUGGAGUUGAGUGACUUAAAGCGGCAGGGUAGCCUAGUGGUUAGAGCGUUGGACUAGUAACCGAAAGGUUGCAAGUUCGAAUCCCCGAGCUGACAAGGUACAAAUCUGUCGUUCUGCCCCUGAACAGGCAGUUAACCCACUGUUCCUAGGCCGUCAUUGAAAAUAAGAAUUUCUUCUUAACUGACUUGCCUAGUAAACUAAAAUAAAAAUACGCUCCAGAUCACUCUUCUCAAGACUGCCAUAGCUAUGAUGGCCACCUUCUUGUAUGGGUCAAUUGGGUUGACCUUGGUCUUCAAUCACCAGAAUCGGAUUGGCCAGUGAUAUUCAUUAGUUCAGGAUGACUGUUUCAAAGUGUUUCUAUCACAUGGACAAUAUCUAGACAUGCAGUUAAAUGUCUGCAUCUGAAAUAGCACCAUAUGACCUAGUGCACACACAAGUAGUGCACCAUAUAGGGAAUAUGGUGCCAUUUCGGACACAAGCUAGGUUUCCAUCCAAUUGGCGACAGAUUCCAUCAAACUGACUUAUUGUGGAUAUAGAGGCUAGGCUGUGCGUGAUGAUCAGUGGUGAUUUUUGCAGAUAAAUCUUGGUGGGGCACACUCUGAAAAAUGUUUUUAGAUGCAUACCAGCAAAUCCACUACACUAAACAAUACAUUAAUUGCAUUAUAACGGUGACAAAUGGUGCCCACAAACUGACCUACUUAAAGCUGUCCUGACAGCAGAGCUUUCUUUUCAGCACCAUGGAGCGAGCUAGGAUGGACAUAGUCAAUAUAACUAUUUGUUCAGCACUUUUGAAAUGUACAGCGUCAGAAUUCAGAACAUGGGCCUUUCUUACAGUAUUCUCCCUGUACUCCAAGUCAGAACCGUAGGAUAAAUAUAGGGGACAUUUAAGCAGACAAUGAAAGCUCUUACAAUAUUUGAUGAUUACAUUUCUCUAAAACAGGCUAUAGGCUACAUGUGCACCUCCAAGUCAGAACAGUAGGCUAAGUUAUGAGGGGGAAAGGGAACAAAUUAUUUGGGUGAAGCGCAUGCACUACUAACAGCUUACUACACAACAUACACUUAGUAUUACUUUCUUAGCUACAGUAUACAUAUCUCCCUGGCAUAUUACAUAAUUUAUGCAGCAGCAUACAAUACAUUUUUGGACUCACAUUGUGCUCUGCUAACAUGAACAGGAAGGUGGUGUGACGAUCCUUGUGGGCAAGGAUCUAUAUAUAUAUAUAGCCUGUUUCACAUGUUAUUUUGGCAUUAAUACGUGUCACAUGUCAGUUUGCAAACAAUCAACAACAAAAAAAUCCUUAAGUUAAUAAAGUCGCAUACCACGUUUGUAUCUUUUGAUGCUACAUAAAAUCAGAGAAUGCCAGACUAUAUAGUACAUGUCAAAAGUUUGAACAACACAUUCAAGGGUUUUUCUUUAUUUUUACUAUUUUCUACAAUGUAGAAUAAUAGUGAAGACAUUGAAACUAUGAAAUAAGACCUAUGAAAUCAUGUAGUAACCAAAGUAGCCACAGUUUGCCUUGAUGACCGCUUUCCACACUCUUUUCCAACAAAUACUUUGUUUUGAAAAACUGUUGCAGGUCAAUGUGUCAAUAAGUUAUGAAUCCAUAUAGCACCCAUCCCCCCAGUUAAAGUGAUGAUAUACAAUAUGAGUACUUUCUACAUGUUUGGUUUGUCCAAAAAUAAUAUUUGGCCAAACUACAGGUUCAUUAUUUACAAGUGAUAUUAAUUAAUUGUCCGGACUAGGACAUGAAAGUGCUUGUAGGGGUCUUUGCUGACAAUGAAAAGCAUUAAAAGAAAAUGGAAUGUAACUUGCUCAACAAUCCAUCUCUCGAGCUAUUGUAUAGCACCUAUUGAUAUAUUCCAGAGCAAAUAAAUAUAAGCUCUACACAGCAAUGCGUCCAGUUUCUGGUAUAUAUUUUGUUUUUGGUCAAUAAAAAAAAAAUCACUGAAUAGUAGUGCACCAUGGAUUGUUAGACAGUAUUCCAUCCACGUUUCUUUUUUAAAGCAAGUAAUGGCUGUUGAUGUUUCAAUAAACAUCUCUAUGUUGCAUUUAUUUCUUAGAGUACUGGAUUACUGCACAUUGAUUUACCUAUUUAGGAAUCUGACCUUGUAACAAAAUGUGAACUAUGUCAUUGAUUUAUGAAUGGUACGAUUAAGGAGAUCAGUCUAUCUUCCAGAAUUGAAAUGAGACUUACAACCACAUUAAGAACUCCAGGGAAGGAUUGUUACCAAUACUCUAUUCUCUCUUUUUCCAUCUGUCUUUCUCUCUUUCCCUUGCUUUCUCUUAUCGCUCCUGUUUCAUCAGGAGUUGUUUGGCAGAAGUUGGAAAUGGGCCUAAAUAAAACAAUUUCAGGUCUUUUGUUUCCUAGGUGUAAGAUCUUUUCUUGUCCUGAAGAGGGCAUUUUAAGUAACCUCAUAAAUUCAUACCAGAGUGGUUCAUACAGUAAAGGAGUAUAUGUGAG